rnacentral:rRNA from 1 species
GGGUUGUGAGGUUAAGCGACUAAGCGUACACGGUGGAUGCCCUGGCAGUCAGAGGCGAUGAAGGACGUGCUAAUCUGCGAUAAGCGUCGGUAAGGUGAUAUGAACCGUUAUAACCGGCGAUUUCCGAAUGGGGAAACCCAGUGUGUUUCGACACACUAUCAUUAACUGAAUCCAUAGGUUAAUGAGGCGAACCGGGGGAACUGAAACAUCUAAGUACCCCGAGGAAAAGAAAUCAACCGAGAUUCCCCCAGUAGCGGCGAGCGAACGGGGAGCAGCCCAGAGCCUGAAUCAGUGUGUGUGUUAGUGGAAGCGUCUGGAAAGGCGUGCGAUACAGGGUGACAGCCCCGUACACAAAAAUGCACAUGCUGUGAGCUCGAUGAGUAGGGCGGGACACGUGGUAUCCUGUCUGAAUAUGGGGGGACCAUCCUCCAAGGCUAAAUACUCCUGACUGACCGAUAGUGAACCAGUACCGUGAGGGAAAGGCGAAAAGAACCCCGGCGAGGGGAGUGAAAAAGAACCUGAAACCGUGUACGUACAAGCAGUGGGAGCACGCUUAGGCGUGUGACUGCGUACCUUUUGUAUAAUGGGUCAGCGACUUAUAUUCUGUAGCAAGGUUAACCGAAUAGGGGAGCCGAAGGGAAACCGAGUCUUAACUGGGCGUUAAGUUGCAGGGUAUAGACCCGAAACCCGGUGAUCUAGCCAUGGGCAGGUUGAAGGUUGGGUAACACUAACUGGAGGACCGAACCGACUAAUGUUGAAAAAUUAGCGGAUGACUUGUGGCUGGGGGUGAAAGGCCAAUCAAACCGGGAGAUAGCUGGUUCUCCCCGAAAGCUAUUUAGGUAGCGCCUCGUGAAUUCAUCUCCGGGGGUAGAGCACUGUUUCGGCAAGGGGGUCAUCCCGACUUACCAACCCGAUGCAAACUGCGAAUACCGGAGAAUGUUAUCACGGGAGACACACGGCGGGUGCUAACGUCCGUCGUGAAGAGGGAAACAACCCAGACCGCCAGCUAAGGUCCCAAAGUCAUGGUUAAGUGGGAAACGAUGUGGGAAGGCCCAGACAGCCAGGAUGUUGGCUUAGAAGCAGCCAUCAUUUAAAGAAAGCGUAAUAGCUCACUGGUCGAGUCGGCCUGCGCGGAAGAUGUAACGGGGCUAAACCAUGCACCGAAGCUGCGGCAGCGACGCUGAUGCGUUGUUGGGUAGGGGAGCGUUCUGUAAGCCUGCGAAGGUGUGCUGUGAGGCAUGCUGGAGGUAUCAGAAGUGCGAAUGCUGACAUAAGUAACGAUAAAGCGGGUGAAAAGCCCGCUCGCCGGAAGACCAAGGGUUCCUGUCCAACGUUAAUCGGGGCAGGGUGAGUCGACCCCUAAGGCGAGGCCGAAAGGCGUAGUCGAUGGGAAACAGGUUAAUAUUCCUGUACUUGGUGUUACUGCGAAGGGGGGACGGAGAAGGCUAUGUUGGCCGGGCGACGGUUGUCCCGGUUUAAGCGUGUAGGCUGGUUUUCCAGGCAAAUCCGGAAAAUCAAGGCUGAGGCGUGAUGACGAGGCACUACGGUGCUGAAGCAACAAAUGCCCUGCUUCCAGGAAAAGCCUCUAAGCAUCAGGUAACAUCAAAUCGUACCCCAAACCGACACAGGUGGUCAGGUAGAGAAUACCAAGGCGCUUGAGAGAACUCGGGUGAAGGAACUAGGCAAAAUGGUGCCGUAACUUCGGGAGAAGGCACGCUGAUAUGUAGGUGAAGUCCCUCGCGGAUGGAGCUGAAAUCAGUCGAAGAUACCAGCUGGCUGCAACUGUUUAUUAAAAACACAGCACUGUGCAAACACGAAAGUGGACGUAUACGGUGUGACGCCUGCCCGGUGCCGGAAGGUUAAUUGAUGGGGUUAGCCGCAAGGCGAAGCUCUUGAUCGAAGCCCCGGUAAACGGCGGCCGUAACUAUAACGGUCCUAAGGUAGCGAAAUUCCUUGUCGGGUAAGUUCCGACCUGCACGAAUGGCGUAAUGAUGGCCAGGCUGUCUCCACCCGAGACUCAGUGAAAUUGAACUCGCUGUGAAGAUGCAGUGUACCCGCGGCAAGACGGAAAGACCCCGUGAACCUUUACUAUAGCUUGACACUGAACAUUGAGCCUUGAUGUGUAGGAUAGGUGGGAGGCUUUGAAGUGUGGACGCCAGUCUGCAUGGAGCCGACCUUGAAAUACCACCCUUUAAUGUUUGAUGUUCUAACGUUGACCCGUAAUCCGGGUUGCGGACAGUGUCUGGUGGGUAGUUUGACUGGGGCGGUCUCCUCCUAAAGAGUAACGGAGGAGCACGAAGGUUGGCUAAUCCUGGUCGGACAUCAGGAGGUUAGUGCAAUGGCAUAAGCCAGCUUGACUGCGAGCGUGACGGCGCGAGCAGGUGCGAAAGCAGGUCAUAGUGAUCCGGUGGUUCUGAAUGGAAGGGCCAUCGCUCAACGGAUAAAAGGUACUCCGGGGAUAACAGGCUGAUACCGCCCAAGAGUUCAUAUCGACGGCGGUGUUUGGCACCUCGAUGUCGGCUCAUCACAUCCUGGGGCUGAAGUAGGUCCCAAGGGUAUGGCUGUUCGCCAUUUAAAGUGGUACGCGAGCUGGGUUUAGAACGUCGUGAGACAGUUCGGUCCCUAUCUGCCGUGGGCGCUGGAGAACUGAGGGGGGCUGCUCCUAGUACGAGAGGACCGGAGUGGACGCAUCACUGGUGUUCGGGUUGUCAUGCCAAUGGCACUGCCCGGUAGCUAAAUGCGGAAGAGAUAAGUGCUGAAAGCAUCUAAGCACGAAACUUGCCCCGAGAUGAGUUCUCCCUGACUCCUUGAGAGUCCUGAAGGAACGUUGAAGACGACGACGUUGAUAGGCCGGGUGUGUAAGCGCAGCGAUGCGUUGAGCUAACCGGUACUAAUGAACCGUGAGGCUUAACCUUACAACGCCGAAGGUGUUU